UUACAAUUAUUUUGGAAUUUAUUUCAAAACAUCUGUCAGCAAGUAUGUCUGUAACAAUACAGACCAAAAAAAGAUUCUGAUAAUUUUUUUUUGACAAAUAGAUUCCUUACUAGGCAUAUUAGUAUAGAACUUUGUGUAAUUCUUUUAAAUUACAGUACACAACUGUAUUUCCUGCAUCUGUCAGAAGCAGUGCAAAGGCUUGGCGGAGUCAGGGGUAACAGAAGAGCUGAGGGAGAGGGAAGGAGCCUGGGAGUGAACCUGGAGGGUGUUGCGGAUGGGUGGGGGGAUGGGAUUGUUAGGGUGUUGGGAAGCCUCCCCCAUACAGACCCUGGCUGACCCCAAGCCUCUCCCAUUCAGUCAGGCACAUCUGCCCUGUCCCCCAUCCCCAUGGUCUCUACAGCCCCACUCCCCCAUCCCCAGGCUCAAUGCUGUCACCCCACUAGCUCCUGAGCCCAUGCUCCACCUGUCCCCACCACUAGCCAUUCUGAAACUGACUGUGACCCCACAGCAGCCCUGUGUGCCCCACUCUGUCCUAACCUGGCUCCGCGGGCAGCAUGUUGUGAUGAACUGUACUCCUGGGGGAAUUCAACCGCACUGGGCAUAGACUUUUGUAUUUUCCUGCGUAAAAUACAUUUGACCUCAGAAGUGCUGCAGUUUUGCCUUUUGCCCAUCAGAGGCUUUUGUGGCGCUAGAACGCAGCAGGCUUUUCUGGCGCCACAGCGGCCUCUGAUGGGCAAAAGGUGGAACUGCAGCACCUCUGGGCAAAAUGUUUUUUAGGCGGGAAAAUUAAAAAUUAUGCGAGACAGAUGAAUUGAUUUCCCCCAGGAAUAAAAUGGUAACAUUACAAGAUGUUAUAAUCUAAUUUGGCUUGAGUGACCUAUAUAAAUCUCCUCAAAGCUUCUCUCUUAUGGACACCAGAGGCAUGAUUUAAUUAUAGGGCUGUGAUAAACUUGUAACAAAACCAGGCAAAAUUCACCUGGUUUUCAAUUUCAUUAAAAAACUCAAUCCAGACCUGCAAGCCUUUGACUACCCUAGCUGAGUUUUGAGUCAGGUGAACUACUAUUUUGGGUGGAAACUGCUUGUUUGUUCUAACAAUUUCAGGUGAGGUUUCACUUUGUGUUCUGGGGUUUGUUUGAAUGAGAAUCUGAGAGCAAAAGUGAAGAGGUGCAUACCCAAAAGAAGUGAACUGGGGAAGUGGGGUUGUACAAAACUCUGUGAAUGAAACCAAUGAGCUCUAGAUUAGUGUAUAUUGGUCUCUGUAUUAUCAUGUGAAUUAAUGUAUUUCUCAUAAGUAGCUUUAUCUCUUUGCAGAAGUGUCUACUAAUCACACAAGACCAAGGUGACACUGGAAAGUCUCAGCUAGUGACUUUCACAGUUUAGACCCAUUUUUGUCCUGCUCUGCUUUAAGGUAAUGUUUAUUAUUUCCGUUAUCUAGAAGAGGGCCCCAGCAGGAGCUUUGCCACAACACAAUAUAUGUUAUGCCUCCCCUACACCAAGUGAAUGCUAGACGGUGCCACUACUGACAGCAGUAAAUCCCAAAUUACCUUCACUAGUACAGGACUCCAGCAUAGCAGUCCUAGGCCUCUGAUGACACCCCUCAGGCCAAGUUUCCAUAUGCUUGUUGACUCGUUGAUUUGGAAAUUAUCAAACAUUUUAAUGGACUGGACCUACGUCCACCUACCCCAACUCUUUGUAUGGGGCAGACCCUGGUUUGGAUUUUGCAAAACCACAGCAGAUGAGAUUCGGUUUUAGAGAAACAUCAGAAGUUUGGGGGAGGCAGGGAACAGAAAAUAAUUUUGAGAAUGAUCACCUCUGGUAUGGGGUGGGCCCAUACUCCCUACCCCCCCCACCACCACUGGGCACAAAGCAUGUGAAAUGGGAUUUUCAAAGAAGCCUAAAUGAGAUAGGCACUUAACUUCCAUCAGUCUGUUGAAAAAUCCCAGCUGUUAGAAAGAAAAGAUUUUGUAUCAUCUGAAGUGUUUAGAAAGAAAAAAUGAACUAAUUUUAAAGUGUCAGUGAAUCUGCAUCAGCAUCCCUUGGCAACCCAGGAAGGUUGCAUUUUACAUCCUCAGCACAACAACCUCUCACCUUUGCAGUUCUCUCACCCCUGGUACUUCCAAGUUCAGAGUUACCGGACAUUCCAGUUAUUGCACUGAGAUCUACCAGCUUUGCUACUGAGAAUAAUGGAGUGGACAACGUUCCAGGCUGCUUACCCGUGCUACUGCUCUGUCAGAAAGAGGAGGUGCAAACCAGGCAGCAGCAUGGCAGACUUCUCCCACACAUUGUCUCCCUGCCAGUGUGCCCCAACAUUGAUCUAUGAGGACCCGUUGGGGUGAGGUAAGAAGACUGUUCAAUCACCAUGACUUAGUCAGUCCCUGGAAUCUCUACAAAGGAGCCAAUUUGUGCCCUUUGUGCUGGGGGUUUCUUGGCCGUGGACACUGGUCAUUAGGAACCGGCCAGAUACACAAACUCAUUUCCUAUAUGCCAUCAAAUAGCCACCGAUGAGCACUAUUGGUUACUACAAGCCUGGGCUGAAUUUAAACUUGUGACCUAAUGAGGAAGUGCAUGUAUUUCUUGAUCAUUCCCCUGUGCCAUUCAGUAACCCGAAUAAUCUGGACUGGUAUUUUCAAAGGCACUCAGAUCCCAUUAAAAUGGGAACUGGACACCUUGCUCCUUAAGGCACCUUUGAAAAUCUCAGCCUUAAGCUUUAAAAUGAGUCUGUUGUGUCUUACCCACAAGAGCAGACUGUCCUCUCUCCUGAAUCAGGAAGAGCUGACCCCAAUCUGUACAGCAUGUCUUCACUCCGAAGACAACCAGGUAGCCAGUUGAGAGUACCCACAGGUACGGCGAGAGUAGCAGCUCUGCCAGGGUGCUGUCAUCUCUGGAUGAGCCUGAAAGGAGAAUUAGUAGAAACACCAUUACACUGCUUGGACACAGCAAUAGGACACAAUCAACCCAGCUGGGGGGUAGGAUGAUCUGUGAGCAGAUUCUGUGUGCAGUGGGAGCAGCCUUGUAACAGUAAGGCUUUUCUAAAUGUAGAACUAGCAAUGAUCGGCCAUUGCUACCACCCAUUUGCUGUGUACAAAGAAACCUGUCCAUGGUAUUUAUCCCACUUAAUUAAAAAGCAGACAUCAAUAAGCUACAUUUUACUCCCCAUAACUCUGCUCUCUUAUGGGUCCCAGUGAACACUUCCGACAGAAGAUGUUGGAGAACAUAUUGUCUGCUCUUCCAGAUGUUGUUUCUAGUCCGCUUCACUAGUCCGUGAAAGAAGCUGUGUACAUCCCACAAAGGACAUUGCAUUUAAGCUAGCUGCUCAGUUCUUACAUGAACCUGACAGUUAUGUCUGCUAACACUCAUAUCCCAAAAAUACAUUGUGGUAGCAAUUAUGUUCCCAUGACAAUUAUCAAAUGCCAAUUCCAGCAGCAAAAGAUUUACAGGGUGGUACAGAAGUCAGUACUUUAAAUACGGUUUUUGUAGGCUUUUAAAUCCAGUCACAGUCCCUGUGUCACAACAACCCUCCAGCCCUUUUGCUCUCAAGAGAAGGUUCAAUUCAUUGGACAUGACCCAACAUUUAUUAACUAGAUGUCCUAGUUCAGGACACCAAAUGUUGAGCAGAGUCCACUCAAACUAGGGUUCAACAAAACAGGAGGCAGAAUUCUCUGUUUAUUGGAGACAUGCCAAAGGCAGCUCUUCUCUCUGCUGCUCAGUAAGAAACAAAUAAUAAUGCUUUACACUACAGCCCUGUGCGGGAUUAGUGUAGAGCCCUGCAGCGGGAUUGGGAUCCCGCGGAUCCCACAGGACCUGCUGCCAUAAUAGCAGGAGUGGUUGGGAGCAAGAUUAAAAAUAGUCCCGCACAAGGCUCUACUUUGCCCCUCUCUGGCAUGGAGGAUCUGAGAUCACGACAUAAAUAAUUUAAGACCCCAAGGGAAAUAGAAGAAUAUUAACAUAGACAUUUUAUAGAUGGGGAGACUAUGGCACAUAGAGCUGAAGCAACUUGUUGAGGGUCUCACAGAGUCAGUGGCAUAGAUGGGAGUAGAUGUGAAAGUGAGUUAGGAUCUUUCCCUGCCCUACAAGACUCCAUUAGAUGACCGUCCUUUGCACAAUCGAGGGCACCAAUACUUUCACACUGCGAGACACACAUGACACACAAAACAUAUUCCUUAACCAGGAUACCUCAGGUGUUCUCACAGUAUACGACUGCAAGCAGAUCUGGAGUUAAAUGCUGAUAAGCACCAAGUUCAGGAAAUGGGAAGGGCUUGUUCCAGCACCAAGGAACUGGAGGGACACUCAGACUAUCAAAUUUUGGUAGAACAUGUCCCAUCUUCUCUUGCUCCUCCUGCUGCCUGCAUGCCUUAAUUGUAAGAUGAGGAGUCUAAUGCUCACCUUUUUUCCCUUUCAUGGUUCCUGGUCCAAUGUUUGGUAGCCCAACGUCUGAGGGUUCAUUUUUAAUCAGGACAAGACAAACAAAGGAGGCAACCAUGCAGAUGAAGCCAGAGACGGACAGAGUUGUGCGCCAGUCGUAGCUCAGAGCCAUCAGAGCAGCAACAAUGGGGCCCAAGCCACCAGCCAGAUUCAUGCUGGUGGAGAGAAUUGCCCACCACGUCCCAAACUGGGAAGGCUCAAACCACUGUGCAACAGGGAAAGAAAGAGAGUGUGAGCAAAGUGCCAUGGAGUGGGAAUUAGACUCAGAUCCAAAAACCUGUAAUUAAGUCCCUUGGUGGCCAGUUCAGAUCCUAGCAGACAGAGGUUUAUAAAACUAGAUAGAAAAAUAUUUUACUCUUCCAUCCCCUUGCAUCCAAGGAACUCAGAGCUUUUUGCAAACAUUAACGAUGUACGCCUCACAGACCUCUCUACCUUGUGAAGUAGGUCAAUAUUAUUCCCAUUUACAGAGGAGGAAAUGGAGGUACAGGAAGUUCUCUAACUGAUUUAUGAUGCUGUCAUCAAAGGUCUGCCUGCUUUGUACCAAGUAAGGGGAUAAACAAAGUGUUUCAGCUUGUAACUUUAGGACCCUGAUCCUUACUGCAGUGGAUGUUGUGGGAGCUCAGCACAAAUUGGGCCCUUGCUGACAGAAUGAUUGCUGUGACUCAGUCCUACUUCUAAUGGAGUCAAUGGUACAACUUUCAUUAAUGCCAAAGGGAGUAGGAGCAGGUCCCAUCUAAUUCAAAUACUUUGUUGACAAUCUUCUGGAAGUGUUACUUGGUAUUUUGUCUUCAUUUUCAGUGAUCUUUCCCCUCUGAGUAUAAACAGCCCUAUGUGAAAGGCAUUUUCCUCCCAGCUCCAUUCAUUGCCCACAGUAUAGAGCAGAGGAAGCAAGAAGGCUUCAUGGAGAGAGAGAGAGAGAGAGAGAGAGAAGCCUCGUAUCCAGGUGAUUAGUUGUUCAGUCCUCCAUCUCCCACAUGCACCUGUCCUCCUCAUUUUUACAUAUCCCAUUGCCAGGACUAGUCUUGCACAGAGACAGAAAUAGGACUACUGGUUUAGAGGGAGGUUCCUACUAAUGUUAGUAUGGAAGGAAGGGCGUGACCUUCUCCAUGGCAGUGCCUUCUUUGUCCCUGCCUUAGACUAAGUCAUUUGAACAUUUCUACAGGGAACCACAGUUACCAGCCCUUAGCUUCAUAACAUCAAGCUUUAUUUCUUCACACUGCUAAAUUAUCCUUCUGUGGCUGUCUAAACAAACACACCAUUCAGCAGGGGCCCUGCUCACAGUGUUCUAUAUGUCACUUGAUAUUCUGUAUAGGCAGACUGGAUUUUUUUUCCUCUUAGGGGCAGAAGGGGUACGUAUCAUUCUCCCAAAAUAUCCUGAAAUGCAACAUGAUCUGGCUUGUGAUUUAUAACUCAUGAGCCCACCGCCAGGUCAAACCAAACUUUACUUAUCAUUCCUUCUCUCUGCAGUGGACAACUACUAGAGCAAAGAGGCUAUGGUGCCUCUGUCUUCACAACUCAGGGGCUGGAAUCCAGCAACUGGGGUUUUUCAUGAUUACAAAUUCUGCGGCUAGGGAAAUUUAACAAAUUAAACUAUAAUCAACAACCAAAGCUUUGUGCUUAAAACAAACGAAUGGAGUAAAUAACUCUCCAACUUGAGUAUUCUUGGCUUAACUAAGCAGCAGGAGGCAUAUGAGACUCUUAUUCCAAGAAGGGCAGGGGAUAGAGCAGCUAGGAGUGUUCUCCCACAGACAGCAUGCCUGGAGCCAUACCGAUACUUCACUUCCUGCUAGGAGAAGUUGGAACAACUGUGAAUUCACCUAUGGUCCCAGCACAAGGACCCCUGCAGUGUUCUCCAUACAGUACCUAUUCUGGAAGAAGUUAGGACAAGUGUUGCUACGAACUUCACACAAAGCAAUCAUUCCUGUAUCAUGCUCUAUUCAGUGUCUCCUGCUCAGCGCUAAAUUUGUAAUGAAAGAGAUGCCAGGGUUCAAGCAAUAUUUUACUUUCAUAACUGACGCAACAAGCUCAGAAGUGCUGGGGAUAUGAACUGCCAAGCCUAGCCCUGGCACUAAUAAAGCAUUACCCUUGGUGUUCAAAUCUGGGACUGCACCCCUGCCAAAAAAAAAAAAAAAAAAAAAGUUUUUCAAAGUAUACUUACUUUGCGCAGUACCUUCCCACACGGUGGCCACCCCAGUCCUUGAGCCAGCCCAUUCAGGAACCACAGCCCUGAAAAGACUGUAACUGUA